GUGCAGUAACUAUAGGAUCAUUGGUAUACGUCGCUACUUAUCAUAAAUCAUUGUGCUUAAACUGGCCGGUCACUGUAUUAUACUUACCUCUUUUUGAAAACAUAGGUUAAGGAAAUAGAGAUGUAUUUUACUAUAACGGACAACAUACUACGUGCAAGAAGUACCUUUUCUUACCUUGAAGUGUGUAACUUGGAUACUGAUUGGUGUUAUAAAUGAAUUAAAAUAAAAACUUGUCAGCGAGCAAUUCUCUCUUCAACUUGUUAUAACAGACAUUACUGAUAGAUAGUUGCAUUGUAGCAUCUUCCUUUUGGAACAUGGUAAACUUUUGACAGCAUUUUUUUUUUUUUUGGU
rnacentral:misc_RNA from 1 species